AGGAUUAACGCUGGCGGCGUGCCUAACACAUGCAAGUCGAACGAGGUAGCAAUACCUAGUGGCAGACGGGUGAGUAACGCGUGGUCAACCUACCGUUGAGUGGGGGAUAACUAGCCGAAAGGUUAGCUAAUACCGCAUACGUCUCCGAGGGGCAUCCCUUGGCGAUAAAAGGAGCAAUCCGCUCGAUGACGGGACCGCGUCCCAUUAGCUAGAUGGUGGGGUAACGGCCUACCAUGGCACCGAUGGGUAGCUGGUUUGAGAGAGCGACCAGCCACACUGGGACUGAGAAACGGCCCAGACUCCUACGGGAGGCAGCAGUGAGGAAUUUUCCGCAAUGGGCGCAAGCCUGACGGAGCGACGCCGCGUGUGGGAAGAAGGCCUUCGGUCGUAACCACUGUCGAAGGGACGAUAAUGACGGUACCCUUGGAGGAAGCCCGGCUAACUACGUGCCAGCAGCCGC
rnacentral:rRNA from 1 species